ensembl:lncRNA
AUGAAAGCGUUUUUUUUUCUCCCGAAUCCUUCCCAGUCUUAUGUGAGUGGGAGGGGCUGAGAGGUUCCAGAGAUCUGGACAUGGAGCAGCGUGUGUCCUGACGGCCAGCCCAGGGAGUCGUGAGGGGGCUGGCAGCACAUGCCAGAGUCUACACAGGUCUGAACCUGAAGCCUCAACAGAGAGAUGAGCGCCGAGAAGAAUCACCAAGCAGACAGUGCCUUGCGGCUCUCACAGCUCACCCUCCACAGAACCUCAAAGGCACUGUGGCACCUUGUCCAGAGAAGGAAAACCCCAAGUCCAGAGGUACUGACUUGCUUCCUUCACACAGCCUGCAGGUGAGAGGCCUAAGGCUCAAAUAUGGCUCCCUCUAUGGCUAACUGCACAACCUCCAUGAGGACCCUUAAUGUCACAGACAAUAGUUACUGGCUAUUACUAGUCCUGAUCAGUUCUGUGCUUGUUACUGUGAGGGGCUGACAUGCAACACCAUUUUGUUUCCACAAAUGUGCCCUGAAACAGAUUCCCUUUGGAGACAGAGAAGGUUGAAACUCGAACGUUAGGACGUCCAACCAACAUCCAAGCCCUGCUCUGUGGUGCCAAACAGUGUCACAGAUUCAGGCCUCUUCUUUCUGGAUCUGAACCAUUUGCAUUCAGCCAGAGACACCAUAGGUUGUGCGUAAGUGUGCCCUGGGUAUGAUCCAGUGAGUGCUUCUCACUGUCUUCCUCCCAAGCCUACCAAAGAAUGGCAGAUGCUAGGAUGAGAACCUGCAGUGGGCAGAGGCUGGCUGCUUGUCUGGAUGUGAAACAAAACCCUUCCAGACCUCUGGGGAAGAAGCAGAGGUGGGGAAGGGAGCUGGGAGCCCAGGAGGGCUGAUGUUAUGGCUGUGUCUAGAUGUUCCCCCAGAGCCUCCUGCGGUCACAGGUGGGGCUCUUUCAGAGGUGGCUGGAUCUUGAGUGUCUGACACUGGAAUUGAUUCAAGGUGCAAUGCUAGGUUCAGUGGCAGUGGGAUUACAGGUGUGAGUGCUACCCGCCCUAAGUGGUCUGGAUAAGAUAAAAGGGGCAGAAAGACUGUUAAGGUCUCUUGUGGCUUUUUGGUGUCUUCUGGCUGCAAAUGAACUGUUUCUUCUGUGUGAUGCCACCCUGCCUUGGAGCCAGCUGACUAUGGACAGAAACCUCUACAAACUAUGAGCUAAAUAAACCUUUCCG